AACAGAAGUCAUAUUCGUCUCAGCGCACCAGCACUAAUUAAUUGUCCUGUAAAAGUGUUUUUAUGAUUUAACGUAUUCAUAUUGCAUAUUGUUAUGCAUCUAUUGGAAUACCCUAUAAUUACAGCAGUUUCUCUUAUGAAGCUAGAUUGAUUGACAUGUUUUUUAAAUGUGUUGUACUAAAUGUGUUUAUACUUAUGUUUUAGACAAUGGACUUUUUUCGUGAAGGAAAAAAGGCAACAAUAGAAUUUCUGCCUGUUAACUGAAACAUUUCAAGGCCUUCGUGCAGAAAUUGUCUUUAAACCCUUCCUGCCAUCUGCACCAUACCACACAAAUGGAAAAAUGGUCUGCACAUCAUACACGGAAAUGAAGUUGUCCUUCAUUGACAUUCAACCUGUAAGUAAAAGCAACACUUAAAAUUACAGUGCCCUGUGUAGUCAAGUCACCUUUAUUUAUUUUGUACAAGACACACGUUGUACAAUACAAAUAGUUCCAAGAAGAUAUUUUGAA